rnacentral:rRNA from 1 species
AGGCGCGUGGAAGAACUCUCUUUAAGGAACUCUGCAAAAUAGCACCGUAUCUUCGGUAUAAGGUGUGGUUCGCUUCGUAUUAGGAUUUACUCCGAAAGCGAAGAAACUUACAACAAAGAGUCCCUCCCGACUGUUUACCAAAAACACAGCACUCUGCUAACUCGUAAGAGGAUGUAUAGGGUGUGACGCCUGCCCGGUGCUCGAAGGUUAAUUGAUGGGGUUAGCAUUAGCGAAGCUCUUGAUCGAAGCCCGAGUAAACGGCGGCCGUAACUAUAACGGUCCUAAGGUAGCGAAAUUCCUUGUCGGUUAAAUACCGACCUGCAUGAAUGGCGUAACGAGAUGGGAGCUGUCUCAAAGAGGGAUCCAGUGAAAUUGUAGUGGAGGUGAAAAUUCCUCCUACCCGCGGCAAGACGGAAAGACCCCGUGGACCUUUACUACAGCUUGACACUGCUAUUUGGAUAAGAAUGUGCAGGAUAGGUGGGAGGCUUUGAGUAUAUGACGCCAGUUGUAUAUGAGCCAUUGUUGAGAUACCACUCUUUCUUAUUUGGGUAGCUAACCAGCUUGAGUUAUCCUCAAGUGGGACAAUGUCUGGUGGGUAGUUUGACUGGGGCGGUCGCCUCCCAAAUAAUAACGGAGGCUUACAAAGGUUGGCUCAGAACGGUUGGAAAUCGUUCGUAGAGUAUAAAGGUAUAAGCCAGCUUAACUGCAAGACAUACAAGUCAAGCAGAGACGAAAGUCGGUCUUAGUGAUCCGGUGGUUCUGUGUGGAAGGGCCAUCGCUCAAAGGAUAAAAGGUACCCCGGGGAUAACAGGCUGAUCUCCCCCAAGAGCUCACAUCGACGGGGAGGUUUGGCACCUCGAUGUCGGCUCAUCGCAUCCUGGGGCUGGAGCAGGUCCCAAGGGUAUGGCUGUUCGCCAUUUAAAGCGGUACGCGAGCUGGGUUCAGAACGUCGUGAGACAGUUCGGUCCCUAUCUGCCGUGGGCGUAAGAAGAUUGAAGAGAUUUGACCCUAGUACGAGAGGACCGGGUUGAACAAACCACUGGUGUAGCUGUUGUUCUGCCAAGAGCAUCGCAGCGUAGCUAAGUUUGGAAAGGAUAAACGCUGAAAGCAUCUAAGCGUGAAGCCAACUCUAAGAUGAAUCUUCUCUAAGCUCUCUAGAAGACUACUAGUUUGAUAGGCUGGGUGUGUAAUGGAUGAAAGUCCUUUAGCUGACCAGUACUAAUAGAGCGUUUGGCUUAUCUUUAAUAAAGCAU